UUGGAGGGCAAGUCUGGUGCCAGCAGCCGCGGUAAUUCCAGCUCCAAUAGCGUAUAUUAAAGUUGUUGCAGUUAAAAAGCUCGUAGUUGAAUUUCGGGGUUAGUAGGUUGGUCAUGCCUCUGGUAUGUACUGGUCUCACUGAUUCCUCCUUCCUUAUGAACCGUAAUGCCAUUAAUUUGGUGUUGCGGGGAAUUUGGACUGUUACUUUGAAAAAAUUAGAGUGUUUAAAGCAAGCUAACGCUUGAAUACAUUAGCAUGGAAUAAUGAAAUAGGACGUUCGAUCUUAUUUUGUUGGUUUCUAGGAUUGACGUAAUGAUUAAUAGGGAUAGUUGGGGGCAUUAGUAUUCAAUUGUCAGAGGUGAAAUUCUUGGAUUUAUUGAAGACUAACUACUGCGAAAGCAUUUGCCAAGGAUGUUCUCAUUAAUCAAGAACGAAAGUUAGGGGAUCGAAGACGAUCAGAUACCGUCGUAGUCUUAACCAUAAACUAUGCCGACUAGGGAUCGGAUGAUGUUAAUUUUUUAAUGACUCAUUCGGCACCUUACGGGAAAC
rnacentral:rRNA from 1 species